rnacentral:rRNA from 1 species
CAGUAGCCGCGGGAAAACGUAGGGUGCGAGCGUUAAUCGGAAUUACUGGGCGUAAAGCGUGCGCAGGCGGUUCGUUAAGACAGAUGUGAAAUCCCCGGGCUUAACCUGGGAACUGCAUUUGUGACUGGCGAGCUAGAGUAUGGCAGAGGGGGGUAGAAUUCCACGUGUAGCAGUGAAAUGCGUAGAGAUGUGGAGGAAUACCGAUGGCGAAGGCAGCCCCCUGGGCCAAUACUGACGCUCAUGCACGAAAGCGUGGGGAGCAAACAGGAUUAGAUACCCCCGUAGUCCCUGUCUCUUAUAC